CCCAGGGAAGGGGCCUGGGAGCAGAGGGAGCAGAGGGGUUCAACUUUGUAAAGUCGUUUGUCUGUGGGCAGCUCCCCUGGCUGUCUCCUGCAUCAGAGGCUUCACAUGGCAACAGGACCAUUCGGCAGGUGACCUCAGUUUCCCAAGGUUCCCAAGUAGCCCAGAGAUCUCCUGAGGGCAAUGACCAGCUUUGGUGUCCUCCUGGAUGAAGCACAGCGCCUGGUGCAUACAGUAGGUGGUUAAUAGAUGCUCUGGCACAGUUUUUAGACUUUGGGUCCCCAGAAAUUAACACAAUUCCUGGAGCACACAGCAGGUGCUCAUUGAGUACCCACUGAAUGCAUGAACCUCGGCCAUCUGACACUGGCAGAAGCUGGAGGUAAGGGAUGAGGUGCGCAGGUGGGGUUAGGAAUGGAAGACGCUUCCUUGGAAGAAAGUCGGUGUCAGAGGGGACCCUAGGACACUUCCUGGGAGAAGGAACACGGAAACAGCAAAAAUGAAAAGCAAACACGGAUGGAGGCAUAUAAACAGGGCUCUCAGUGAGCAAAGACAGAAGGAUGAAAGAGGAAGAACUGGGCUCAGAGGGGACAAAAUGUGCCCAUGAGAGCCACAGAAGACAGGAAGCCAGAGACUGGGACAGGCCGACUCACUACAGGAUGUCUGGUGCCCUUGCUUCAGCCUCCGGGGGUAGAUAAGGGUGGUGUGGGCAAUGUGGUGCUGUGGUCCCUUCCUAGGGUGGUAGGCUGGGUGAAAGGACACAUGUCACGAGAUUUUUGGGACAUCUUGAGAAACUCUUCCUCUCUUAGCUCAGAAGAGGCCCUGUGUUAUGAAACACAGCACCCAAGAUAUCACAGUCACAAACCUAGCUUCUGGCCCUUGGGUGAGCAACUGAGCUGCUCUUGCCUCAGUUUUCCCAUCAGGGAAGCGAGUACUGAUCUCCUUACUUUAGAAAAAUGUUAAGAUCACACUGAGUUAGGACCUGUCAGUGAAAUGUACACGGCCUGAUAUAAAUGCCAGGGACAUAACGGUGCUGAUACUCCCAGCGUCCUGCUCUGCAUGGGCCCUAAGAGAGGACCCUAAGCUCACAUGCCCCCAUGUCACUGAGUGCCACAGAUGGACCCGAGUUCAGAGCCCCAGCCUCUGGUUUUUGGAUUUGAUGCCAGAUCAAUACAACAAGGCAAAGUUUAUUCCCAGGUGGGGGGUGAGUGGCAGCAGGCAUGCCAACUGGCUGAGAGACAACUGAAGAUCCCCUCGGCCAGCAAACCUGACCAUCCAGCCCCACCACUGAAGUCCUCCGGACCUCUACACUUCAGCCUGUCCAAUGGGCUGAAAACAGUUUUCUGGCUGUCAGAUUAUACCUCAGGUCAUGCAUGUACUCCAAGAACGCAGAGUUCCUGGAAUCAUGUGAGGACAGAGGCAAUAAGACUCUGAGAAACGGAGGCCUGAGAAAUGGAGGAUUUACAGUUUGAGGUACACGAACUAGGCAUCUGGCAGAACAUUUAGAAAUGCUGGUAUUGAUGGUAGAGUUAAUUGUGAAUCCCAGCUCAGUCACUUCUCUGAGCCUCAGUUUCCUUAAGUGUCAAAGGAGGCUAACAGUAGCGCCCACCUCCUGGAGUUGUUGCAAAGAAUAAAUGAAUUGUGUAUAUAAAGCCCUAAGCCCAACGCUUGGUCCACGGUAGCAAUCGAUACUCGCUAUUAUUGUGAAUAAUAAUAAUAUCACAGGCUCCUAGGGAAGGAAGGGCAGAUCAAUCUCUGAACACUGAAGCCACUUUGAAGAAGUUAAACUGGUCGUGACUCAGAAAAUCAUUAAGUCACCAAGUGUCAAAUUUCAUUUUGCAGCUUCUAUUAGGAAUGUGUGAUUCCUGAGGGGGGGGAUCUGAUUCCCCCACCCACCCCACCUCUGCCGUGUUCUCUGUGACUGAUGGGGGAGGAUCACAGAUUAACAGGUCUGCCAAGCUUUUGGGGAGGCAGCAUAAAUAGAGCCUUCAGCUCAUUUGUCCAGCCGGGCUCAAGAAUAUUUCUGAAGUGCUUGCUGAGACAAGAGUGGCAAGGAGUGGUGAAUCGACCUCAAGGGCCCAGAGAGCCAUUAGACCCAAAUUGGAGGGUCCGUGACCUUGGAGGCUGUUGCAGGGCUGGGUGAUGGGAAAGAGAAAGGGGACUGAGGGUUUUACCCUUUUGGAGCCCAACUUCUCUCCUCCACGGUGUUCUCUGCACCCCACACCAUCCUCGCCACAAGAGUUUAGAACCCAAGGACUGACUCAUGGUGGGGUGCAGGGCCCAGGUGGGAGGUGGGCAGAUGGGAGCAGGGGUGACUGACUGACAGCAGGAUGCCACAGCUGAAGAAGGAAGUAUAAAUAUAAAGCGGCCAGUGUAGGACUGGACAGAGGCCAUAUGAAACACACGGUACAUUCCGGCCCCAGCGUAACAAACUGUACCAGCCUUUUGGAGAGCUGGGAGCACUGUGGAGGGGAGGGAAGAGAGCAGAGGUUCCUUGGAGGUUGGCCCUGCCUCCUCCUCCCCCACUUCUCCCACAGCUCGGGCACCACAGGGAAAGUCCCGAUGUUCCUUUUGCAACCACAGGAAACCUACUAUCCCUGCUCACACUCUGUACCCAGUGUUCCUCUCAGCAGCUCCAGACUGGGAGGGAGCAGUGAGUGGGGGAGGGAGAGAGGGCUGGGGGGGGAGUGGGGAAUGUAGGCAGCCACAGCAGCCCAGGUAACAUGAGGGAGGUGGCAAGCAUCCCCUGGGACACUCACUCAGAGUCCCAGCCUGUAAGCGCUGCAAGGAAGGUCCAGAUGGCAGUGAGGUGUGGGGAAGGAAGUGCCUUGCCCAAGAUCACACAGCCAGUUCACCAGGGUGGGACCAGAGUGCCUCCAGAGCUGGGCAGCGCUGGGCAGCUCUCUUGGGUGUACUGUGCAGGCGUGGCAGGCCAGGGAACAGGCAGUGCCGGGGAACAGAGGGUGGGGAGCCCAGAUCCAAGGCUGCCUCUAUGCUCUGGUUAGCUCUGGGCAGGUCUGGCUUGGGCAUCAGGCCCUCCGCUCCUUCCAAACCUACCCUCCUCCUCCAUCUGAAUAUUAGAGAUAAUGCAUGGAAAGUGGCUAGCACAGAGGCUGGCUCGUGGUGAUGUCAACCAGGAUGAGUCACCUCCACGCCUCGUCUCUCCUCCUCCACACACAUAGCUCAAGGCCUAGAACCUCCUGGGAUCUUUCUCCCAUAUCACCACCUCCUUCUUGAGUCCCUAUAGUUCUUAACUUUUGGUACUCACCACCUGCUGUCUUGGGUUAUUAUUUAACCUCACGAGCUGUGUGUUUGUCUCUUCAGCUGGUCUGCAAUCUGCCCAAGGGCAGGAAAUCAUUUCAAUACACCCAACAUUUACUGGACAUCAACUCCAGUGCCAAGCUUGGCCUGUGGGGGAUGAGCUCAAGUGAU